rnacentral:lncRNA from 1 species
UUUGUUUGAUCUAAAUCACAUAUAGAUUGCAGAGUUAACUCAUCUUCAUCUCUAUUUUUUCCCAUGGCCAGCCAGGCACAUUCGAUCACCAACCAUCGAAUGCAGAGGCUUUUAGGUUUAUGCUCUCCUUCUCCUUCUAUCUCUCUGCCUUGAACAAUAUUAUAUUUGUGUCUUUGGAUGUCAGGAGAGAAAGAUGAUCGCUCACAACCACCAUAUCUAUC